rnacentral:rRNA from 1 species
GACGAACGCUGGCGGCGUGCUUAACACAUGCAAGUCGAACGGAAAGGCCCUGCUUUUGUGGGGUGCUCGAGUGGCGAACGGGUGAGUAACACGUGAGUAACCUGCCCUUGACUUUGGGAUAACUUCAGGAAACUGGGGCUAAUACCGGAUAGGAGCUCCUGCUGCAUGGUGGGGGUUGGAAAGUGUCGGCGGUUGGGGAUGGACUCGCGGCUUAGCAGCUUGUUGGUGGGGUAGUGGCUUACCAAGGCUUUGACGGGUAGCCGGCCUGAGAGGGUGACCGGCCACAUUGGGGGUGAGAGACGGCCCAGACCCUUACGGGAGGGAGAAGUGGGGAAUAUUGCACAAAGGGCGGAAGCCGGAUGCAGCAACGCGGCGUGCGGGAUGACGGCCUUCGGGUGGUAAACCGCUUUCGCCUGUGACGAAGCGUGAGGGACGGUAAUGGGUAAAGAAGCACCGGCUACUACGUG